rnacentral:rRNA from 1 species
CCUACGUGAGGCUGCAGUGGGGAAUAUUGCGCAAUGGGCGAAAGCCUGACGCAGCGACGCCGCGUGAGGGAUGAAGGUCUUCGGAUCGUAAACCUCUGUCAGCAGGGAAGAACGGUCACUGUGCUAAUCAGCAGUGAAUUGACGGUACCUGCAAAGGAAGCACCGGCUAACUACGUGCCAGCAGCCGCGGUAAUACGGAGGGUGCGAGCGUUAAUCGGAAUUACUGGGCGUAAAGCGCUCGUAGGCGGGAUGUCAAGUCAAGGGUGAAAUCCCCGCGCUCAACGUGGGAACUGCCUUUGAAACUGGCAAACUGGAGUGUGUGAGAGGAUAGUGGAAUUGCAGGUGUAGGAGUGAAAUCCGUAGAUAUCUGGAGGAACAUCAGUGGCGAAGGCGACUAUCUGGCACAUAACUGACGCUGAGGAGCGAAAGCGUGGGUAGCAAACAGGAUUAGAUACCCCUGUAGUC